rnacentral:lncRNA from 1 species
CAAAUAUCCAGUUCUUAAGCUGCUAAUGACCCUCUGCCUGCCAUCCUCGGAGCGCUUCCAUUUCAGAAUUGUAGUUGCCAACUGCCCACCAGAGCAAGGCCCAUGAACGAAGGAAGAGAAGAAACUCCUCCUCUACCCACUUCUUCCCAGAAUGCUGUCCUCCAGCAAGCUCCAUCUGUCAUUCCGCCUCCAUCCCGUAGCCUGCCAUCCUGCAGCAGACUGAGCAGAGUGUAACGGAGAUGAUGCUUCACAGCCUGAGCGGAAACAAAGCCAGACAAAGAAACCCACAUGGCUGUAAGACAGGCGCAGAGGAAGCAGUUCCCUGAGAUGGCCGUGACGGCAGCUUAGCUCUAAUGGAGCUGAAGCCCCUGUGAUUCUUGUCCUGUUUCUCAGACACGUACAAUCUAUAUGUUCAGUUAAAUGCAACAGGAGGAAGUUGGGUGCACACACCUUUCAUCUCAAGCUGGGAAGCAGAAGCAGAAGGAUCCUUAUGAGGCCAGCCUGUUGUUUUAAGUCUCCAAGUUUUUGAGGGUUACGGUGUGCAGAGAUAAUUGAUGUAGACAGUAUUUGCCAAGACUGGGCAUGUUAGCAGGAUGCUUUGGAAGUCAUUAUGUGGCGUCUAAUCUAGGAACUCAGGCUUCUGCGGAGAACAAACAGGUAAACAUCCCUGCCUGCACGGAGCCUAUAUUCUCAUGGGAACAUGGCCAGAUAGAAUAGAGGGACGAGGAAUAUUUGGGAGGAA